rnacentral:rRNA from 1 species
AUACGUAGGGUGCGAGCGUUGUCCGGAAUUACUGGGCGUAAAGAGCUCGUAGGUGGUUUGUCGCGUCGUCUGUGAAAUUCCGGGGCUUAACUCCGGGCGUGCAGGCGAUACGGGCAUAACUUGAGUACUGUAGGGGAGACUGGAAUUCCUGGUGUAGCGGUGAAAUGCGCAGAUAUCAGGAGGAACACCGGUGGCGAAGGCGGGUCUCUGGGCAGUAACUGACGCUGAGGAGCGAAAGCAUGGGUAGCGAACAGGAUUAGAUACCAUGGUAGUCCAUGCCGUAAACGGUGGGCGCUAGGUGUAGGGGUCUUCCACGACUUCUGUGCCGUAGCUAACGCAUUAAGCGCCCCGCCUGGGGAGUACGGCCGCAAGGCUAAAACUCAAAGGAAUUGACGGGG